rnacentral:rRNA from 1 species
UCGAGAAUCUUCGGCAAUGGGGGAAACCCUGACCGAGCGACGCCGCGUGUGAGAUGAAGGCCUUCGGGUUGUAAAUCACUGUCAGUGGGGAGGAAAUGCAGAUGGGUUCUCCCAUUUGUUUGACCUAUCCGCAGAGGAAGGACGGGCUAAGUUCGUGCCAGCAGCCGCGGUAAGACGAACCGUCCAAACGUUAUUCGGAAUCACUGGGCUUAAAGGGUGCGUAGGCGGUCCGGGAAGUUGGGUGUGAAAGCCCUCGGCUCAACCGAGGAAUUGCGUCCAAAACUGCCGGACUUGAGGGAGACAUAGGUGAGCGGAACCUAGGGUGGAGCGGUGAAAUGCGUUGAGAUCCUAGGGAACACCAGUAGCGAAAGCGGCUCACUGGGUCUCUUCUGACGCUGAUGCACGAAAGCUAGGGGAGCGAAGA